GAGAGAGAGAGAGAGAGAGAGGCAUAAUAGAGGAUUGGGCAGUGUUGAGUAUAGGCUUUAUAUCACAGAGACAGGAAAAGGGAUGGACGUGUGGCGAUGAGAGAGAGGAGGUUGAGAGUGAUUCUUUCAGUACCUGAAAACGUGUAGACCUGUGGGGCAAGGGGAGCUCUGCAUUGGACUAAAAGUUUUUUGUUGAAGAAAGAGCGAGUUAGACUGAGAGAGAGAGAGAGAAAGAGAGAGAGAGAGAGAGAUAGGGAGGAGAGGAGGGGGAAAGAGAGGGGGUUGUUAGUGAGUGAGGGCGAGUGUGUGGUUGUCUGUGAGAGAGAGACUCAGAGAGCGAGAGAGACUGCAGAGGCAACACCUGGGACACAGACUGAGAGGGAAGAAAAGCACUUCUUCCUUCUUCCUCAUCUUCUUCCUUCUUCCGUGUCUUUUGUCUUCUUCCUCAUCUUCUUCCUUCUUCCCUGUCUUCUUUCUUUGUCUCCCUUUCUUUGUUGUUUUACUUAUUGGCCCAUCUGAAGCCCGGGAGACUACCGGACAGCUAUCUGCUAGACUCUGAAGCGGUCCCACCUCACCUCUUCUGCCUGCACUGAAGAACUUCACACCAAAAAAUGCUUUGCUAAAGCUGGUAAAAUGGAACCAAAUCAACUAUUGAAUGGAUUUGGUCCCCUUCAACCAGCUGUAGCUCUGCAUUGAUCCCAACAAGACUGUCUCUCUGACCUGAGAACAGCGCUCAGAAGAGGGCAGCUAUAACAGAGACACUGUGUCAGGGAUGGACAUCACUGACCUGAGAACAGGGCUCACCAGAGGGCAGCUAUAACAGAGACACUGUAUCAGGGAUGGACAUCUCUGACCUGAGAACAGCGCUCACCAGAGGGCAGCUAUAACAGAGACACUGUGUCAGGGCACACUGAUCCAGGAGCAGAAAUGUGUGAGCACUAAAGGGAACCAUCAGACCACAACAGAGAAGGCUUAAAAUACCGUUGAACCUUUCUGUACACUAUAAGGAUAUAGAUGUGUUUGUUAUACAAUAGUCAAGGUAAGUAUUUAUUUCCUAACCAUGUAUUACUAUGUAUUACAGUAUAUAUAAUUGCUAUCCUUUGUACAUGACUGGAAGGAGAAAUGAGAGGGGGGAUGUGGAGUGCAUAAGUAAAGCAAUGGCACUCUCUCCCUCUCUCUCUCCCUCUCUUCUUUUCUCUCUCUCUCCCUCUCUCUCUCAUCAAUAAAAGCCUAUCCUGAUGUUCAUAAA